UCAUCCUUUGCAGCAAUGGUUCCAGUAUU
rnacentral:piRNA from 1 species